rnacentral:rRNA from 1 species
GAUGAACGCUGGCGGCGUGCUUAACACAUGCAAGUCGAACGAAGCACUCUAUUUGAUUUUCUUCGGAAAUGAAGAUUUUGUGACUGAGUGGCGGACGGGUGAGUAACGCGUGGGUAACCUGCCUCAUACAGGGGGAUAACAGUUGGAAACGACUGCUAAUACCGCAUAAGCGCACAGGAUCACAUGAUCCGGUGUGAAAAACUCCGGUGGUAUGGGAUGGACCCGCGUCUGAUUAGCCAGUUGGCAGGGUAACGGCCUACCAAAGCGACGAUCAGUAGCCGACCUGAGAGGGUGACCGGCCACAUUGGGACUGAGACACGGCCCAAACUCCUACGGGAGGCAGCAGUGGGGAAUAUUGCACAAUGGGGGAAACCCUGAUGCAGCGACGCCGCGUGAGCGAAGAAGUAUUUCGGUAUGUAAAGCUCUAUCAGCAGGGAAGAAGAAUGACGGUACCUGACUAAGAAGCAC